rnacentral:lncRNA from 1 species
AUGACAUCUUCAGCUCUAGUCAUGUAUUCCACACAACAGAUCCAGGUCAGAGUCUGUCACAAGGAAGCUCUUGGCCGGCCUGCCAAGGAGGAGGAAACGCAAAGCUAUCACUCCGCCUGCGUUCUCUGUGAGGGAGUCUCCUACAGCACUGUUAUCUGUGGCACAGAUGACAUUUUCAAGCACGAUGUCACCACACCAUCUGAUCUUUGCCAAUACAAGGUUGCCGACCAGAUGUCAAGAAAGAAGGAAAAUCUACAAUGAAACUGUGAAGGAAAAAAAAACCCUAAGGUGUUAUAAAAAUACAUUGUAAGUGCAGUGGUGAGUCUUAAACUAUUUCACAUAAGAUGACCAGGGAAGUCCUCUAUUUGUUUUUUGUGG